AAUCAACGCUGGCGGCGUGCCUCAGACAUGCAAGUCGAACGAUUAAGACUUCCUUCGGGAAGUGCAUAAAGUGGCGCACGGGUGAGUAACACGUAAGUAAUCUACCCUCGAGUGGGGAAUAACAGUCGGAAACGACUGCUAAUACCGCAUAAUGCAGCGGCACCGCAAGGUGACAGUUGUUAAAGGAGCAAUCCGCUUGAGGAGGAGCUUGCGGCAGAUUAGCUAGUUGGUAAGGUAACGGCUUACCAAGGCUACGAUCUGUAUCCGGUCUAAGAGGACGGUCGGACAUACUGACACUGAAUAACGGGUCAGACUCCUACGGGAGGCAGCAGUCGGGAAUUUUGGGCAAUGGGCGAAAGCCUGACCCAGCAACGCCGCGUGAAGGAUGAAGUAUUUCGGUAUGUAAACUUCGAAAGAAUAGGGAGAAUAAAUGACGGUACUAUUUAUAAGCUCCGGCUAACUACGUGCCAGCCGCCGCUGUAAAAC
rnacentral:rRNA from 1 species